UACGUAGGUGGCAAGCGUUGUCCGGAUUUACUGGGCGUAAAGAGCGCGCAGGCGGUCGGAUAAGUCGAAUGUGAAAGCCCCCGGCUCAACUGGGGAGGGUCAUUCGAUACUGUUCGACUCGAAGGCAGGAGAGGGAAGUGGAAUUCCUGGUGUAGCGGUGAAAUGCGCAGAUAUCAGGAGGAACACCGGUGGCGAAGGCGGGUCUCUGGGCCGAUACUGACGCUGAGGAGCGAAAGCGUGGGGAGCGAACAGG
rnacentral:rRNA from 1 species